rnacentral:rRNA from 1 species
CCUACGGGAGGCAGCAGUAGGGAAUAUUGGGCAAUGGACGGAAGUCUGACCCAGCCAUGCCGCGUGCAGGAAGAAGGUCCUCUGGAUUGUAAACUGCUUUAGACGGGGAAGAAUAAGGAUCAUGCGUGAUCUGAUGACGGUACCCGUAGAAUAAGCACCGGCUAACUACGUGCCAGCAGCCGCGGUAAUACGUAGGGUGCGAGCGUUGUCCGGAUUUAUUGGGUUUAAAGGGUGCGUAGGCGGGAGAGUAAGUUCGCUUUUAAAGCCGGCCGCUUAACGGUCAGGUAGGGGGCGGAUACUGCUUUUCUUGAGAGGGCUCGGGGCUGGCGGAAUUUGUGGUGUAGCGGUGAAAUGCAUAGAUACCACGAGGAACACCGAUCGCGUAGGCAGCCAGCCAGGGCCUUUCUGACGCUGAGGCACGAAAGUGCGGGGAGCAAACAGGAUUAGAUACCCUGGUAGUCCGCACUGUAAACGAUGCAUACUCGGUGUCGGCUCGUUAGAGCCGGUGCCUGAGGGAAACCGAUAAGUAUGCCACCUGGGGAGUACGCCGGCAACGGUGAAACUCAAAGAGUAGUAGACGUGAGACGAGCGACGAGACACGACGGAGGUUAG